rnacentral:rRNA from 1 species
UAAGCCUGUGAAGGUGUGUCGUGAGGCAUGCUGGAGGUAUCAGAAGUGCGAAUGCUGACAUAAGUAACGAUAAAGCGGGUGAAAAGCCCGCUCGCCGGAAGACCAAGGGUUCCUGUCCAACGUUAAUCGGGGCAGGGUGAGUCGACCCCUAAGGCGAGGCCGAAAGGCGUAGUCGAUGGGAAACGGGUUAAUAUUCCCGUACUUGGUGUUACUGCGAAGGGGGGACGGAGAAGGCUAUGUUGGCCGGGCGACGGUUGUCCCGGUUUAAGCGUGUAGGUGUGUGUUCCAGGUAAAUCCGGUUCACUUUAACACUGAGGCGUGACGACGAGGCACUACGGUGCUGAAGCAACAAAUGCCCUGCUUCCAGGAAAAGCCUCUAAGCAUCAGGUAACAUCAAAUCGUACCCCAAACCGACACAGGUGGUCAGGUAGAGAAUACCAAGGCGCUUGAGAGAACUCGGGUGAAGGAACUAGGCAAAAUGGUGCCGUAACUUCGGGAGAAGGCACGCUGACACGUAGGUGAAGUGAUUUACUCAUGGAGCUGAAGUCAGUCGAAGAUACCAGCUGGCUGCAACUGUUUAUUAAAAACACAGCACUGUGCAAACACGAAAGUGGACGUAUACGGUGUGACGCCUGCCCGGUGCCGGAAGGUUAAUUGAUGGGGUCAGCGCAAGCGAAGCUCCUGAUCGAAGCCCCGGUAAACGGCGGCCGUAACUAUAACGGUCCUAAGGUAGCGAAAUUCCUUGUCGGGUAAGUUCCGACCUGCACGAAUGGCGUAAUGAUGGCCAGGCUGUCUCCACCCGAGACUCAGUGAAAUUGAACUCGCUGUGAAGAUGCAGUGUACCCGCGGCAAGACGGAAAGACCCCGUGAACCUUUACUAUAGCUUGACACUGAACAUUGAGCCUUGAUGUGUAGGAUAGGUGGGA